rnacentral:sRNA from 1 species
UGAAAACUUUGUUGUGGAAAAAUGGUAAUACAUGUGUAUUGAACUUGGUUUCACCUCCGAUGAGGACACUGCAUGGGUCUCUCAUUGGGUUCAGAAUCAUCGUAGCUGUAAAUUUAGCAUCCAGGCUAAAGCACAAAAGGAGGGUUCAGGGUUGCUUGCACACGGGUGUGUGGAACUUAUCAGCAACGAAAGAAGCCUCGUAAGG